AACGAACGCUGGCGGCAUGCCUAACACAUGCAAGUCGAACGAGACCUUCGGGUCUAGUGGCGCACGGGUGCGUAACGCGUGGGAAUCUGCCCUUGGGUUCGGAAUAACAGUUAGAAAUGACUGCUAAUACCGGAUAAUGUCUUCGGACCAAAGAUUUAUCGCCCAGGGAUGAGCCCCGCGUAGGAUUAGCUAGUUGGUGAGGUAAAGGCUCACCAAGGCGACGAUCCUUAGCUGGUCUGAGAGGGAUGAUCAGCCACACGUGGGACUGAGACACGGCCCAGACUCCGUACGGGAGGCAGCAGGU
rnacentral:rRNA from 1 species